rnacentral:lncRNA from 1 species
UGGUGUAAGUGAUUCUUUGGCCUGCAAUGUCAUCAGCUAUUCGCAGCGAGGCUACUGAGUUUGACCGUAUGUUCUCUUGAUCCCUAGCUAUCCAGAUUCUUACUUUGUAUAUUGGCUAUAGUAGAUUCAAAUUCGCUGUUAAAGUAAGAUGCAUCUAGAUAAAAUUUAACGAUCUUGAUAGAAAAUGAGAAGUCCUAUGCAAUUAGCAAGACAGAGUUCAGAAAGUCUUCGAUCGAAGCAAAUAUGAAUACUGAAAAAUAAUUUGUACGAAAUUCAUAGAUAAACUCGAGUUGACCCAAUCUGGUAUGUGAUUGAUGAUAGGAUUUGACAAAUUUUUCAUGAUCUCCAUCUAGUCAGGAUUCAUGAUAGAAGAACUGAAUCACACAGUAACUGCACCUAAUUGUUCAAAUUUUUUUAUUCUACUAAGUUGUCACUACAUAGUGUUAGAUGUCAUUGAUAGAUUGUAAGAACUUACUAGAAUUAUUUUUGGAUUAACGAUCCUUAUUAGAUUGAGCUGGAAUUAUUCUGAUCCGUCGAAACAAGUUUUGAUGAUACUAUGAUAGAGAUCACAGUAUGUC